rnacentral:tRNA from 1 species
AGCCGGGAUAGCUCAGUGGAGAGCAGAGGA